AGGGCUGCAGACAAAACAGCAGGGGACUGAUUCCUAAGCUGUAUUCCUGACUUUUUCCCCACUGUCUGAUAAAACAUCAUUUAUCAUGAGAACAUUUGUUAAGUCAUGGAUUCCUCGGUGUCUGCAGAUUCUCAGGUUGCCUUGCAGAUCAUUCCAUGGAUACAACAGGCUUCUGACGUCUCAGAUUAUUUCCCAUUAUGAUUCUAUAAACCAGUGUAAAAAGGAACUUCCAGAAUACUUCAACUUUGCAAGUGAUGUCUUAGAUGAGUGGUCACAACUAGAAAAGGAUGGAAAAAAA